GGCCGUUGAUAUGAAGUAGUUGAAUUUGCAAGUCUUUGGUGACUCCUAAUUGGUGGUCAAUCAGCUUUUGGGUAGUUACGAGGUUAAGAAGCCUAAACUACGCCCAUAUCAUAAUUACACUAAAAAGUUGAUGGGAUGGCUCGGUGAUGUGACUAUUCAGCAUGUGCCAAGGAAAGAAAACAAGAAGGUUGCUGCUUUAGCUGCCCUAGCUUUAUCUUUAACUCUGCCUGAUCAAGCGCAAGUUACUGUCUGCCAAAAAUGGGUAGUACCACGUCAAAUAAGGCUGAAGGUGGAGAAAAUGAACUCAAGCAUCUUGUUGUUGUUUCUGAAGUUAAGAAAGAAGAAUGGCGCCAACCCAUUAUCGACUACUUAUGCUGUGGGAUACUUUUAGAAAAUCUGAGGAGAAGGACUGAAAUUUUUCGUCGUGCGCCUCGCUUCCUUUACUACAAGGAUACUCUAUACAGAAGGUCAUUCGAGGGAUCUUGCGAUGCCUCUCUCCAAGAUUUGCAAGCGGCACAUUCUGAUGUAUGUGGAUCACACCAGUCUGGAGCAAAGCUCCACUUCCAUAUAAAAAGGAUGGGAUAUUAUUGGUCAAUGAUGGUAAAAGAUUGCUUGGACUACGAUCGGAGAUGCAAGGCUUGUUAAUUCCAUGCGAAUUUUUUCAUCAACCUCCUGAAGUGUUGCACCCGACUGUUGCAUCCUGGCCAUUUGACGCCUUGGGAUCGGAUGUUGUUGUCCUCUGGUGGGCACCUAUACAUCUUGACUACAAUUGACUACUUCUCAAAAUGGGCUUAAAUUAUUGCUCUUAAGGAAGUAAAGAAGAAAAAUUUUGCAAGUUUCAUCCGAGUAAACAUCAUUUAUCACUUUGGCAUUCCUCAUUUACAUAAUAACAGAUAAUGGAAAUCCAUUUGAUAAUAGCUUAAUGAACAAGAUUUGUGAUCUCUUUGGCUUCAAGCAACGUAACUCUUCGAUGUACAAUGCUGCCACCAAUGGUCUGGCCGAGGCAUUUAACAAGACUCUAUACAACUUGUUAAAGAAAGUCGUCUCAAAAUCCAAACGAGAUGGGAAUAACAGUAUAGAAGAAGCUCUAUGGUCAAAUAGGACGACUCACCGCACGCCAACACAUGCGACUUAUUAUUCACUCGUUUAUGGAGUCGAAUCUGUCUUGCCACUUGAGCGUCAAAUACCUUAUUUACGACUGACUAUUCAAGAAGGAAUCACUGAUGAAGAAAAUGCUCGACUUUGAUUAGAAGAGUUGGAGUCCCUUGAUGAGAAGAGGUUGGAAGCUCAACAGAGUCUUGAAUGUUAUCAAGAUCGAUUGUCUCGUGCCUUCAAUAAAAAAGUUCGUCUGAGAUCCUUUCAAGUAGGAUAUCAAGUCCUUGCCGUACGAAGACCCAUAAUUACUUCCCAUAAACCUGUAUGGAAGUUCACUUCAAAAUGAGAUGGGCCAUAAGUUGUACAAGAAGCUUACUCAAGUGGAUCUUACAAGCUGGUUGAUGUAGAUGGUAUGAGAAUCGACCAUAUCAAUGGCAAGUUUUUGAAGAAGUAUUAUCCUUCAAGUUGCAACUCUCCUUGACGCACGAGCCUAAACUGCAUGUUGCUACACUCCUGACCUGCAAGAGUAUAAACUGUGUAUGGACCGAAAAAAAAAAUCCGCUAGGUUGAAAAUCUUGAAAGAGCGGCCUAGGCAAAAGUUAGGACGCAAAAAAAAAUCUACCUAGUCUGAACUACGGUAUGAGUUGAUCCUCUUCGCCGAGGUACGUAGGCAGCUUAGAGUUUCAUUCUAAGUUCAGUCGCAUAAGUUCAAAAGAUACAUAUUGCCCCGAUUGUCGUCCGAGUGAAGUAUGGAGAAAUGCAAAAUCAAGCUGAAAUGUCAUCCUCUUGUGGAACUUUGAUCUCAUUUGAUUUAAAAGAGGCAACCCUCCAUGGUAAAUCGAUAUCUUCAAGUUCGUCGGUACUCAAAGUUGAAGUCUUCAAGUCCGCUGGUCUUCAAGUUGAAGUCUUCAAAUUCGCCGAUCUUCAAGUUGAAAUAUUUAGGCCCUCCAAGUCUCAAAGUUGAAGUCUUCAAGUCCGUCGGUCUUCAAGUUGAAUUCUUCAAAUUCACCGAUCUUAAAGUUUGAAAUAUUUAAGCCCCCAAGUUGAAGUCUUCAAAUUCGUCGGUCUUCAAGUUUCAGUCUUCAAAUUCGCUGAUCUUAACGUUGAAUUGUUUAAGCCCUCUGAAUCUUCAAGUUAAAGUCUGCAAAGUCCGCCGAAUCUUCAAAGUUUUCCAAGUGUUAAUGUCGAUGUCGUUUUCAAGUUGAAGCUUUAUAAUUUUCCAAUCUUAAGGUGGACAUAUAAGACCCUUUACACCUUAAGUUGUCCUCUUCGUGGGUUUGUCCUUAAAAUGAACUACAACUUUCCAAUCUUAAGAUGGAUAUAUAAGUCCAUUUGCACCUUAAGUUGGCCUCUUUGUGGGUUUGUCCUUAAAAGGAACUAUAACUUUCCAAUCUUGAGGUGGACAUAUAAGUCCCUUUGCACCUUAAGUUAGCCUCUUCGUAGGUUUGCCCUUAAAAGGAACUAUAACUUUCCGAUCUUAAGGUGGACAUAUAAGUCCCUUUGAACCUUAAGUUGGCCUCUUCGUGGGUUUGUCCUUAACAGGAACUAUAACUUUUUAAUUUUAAGGUGGACAUAUAAGUCCCUUUGCACCUUAAGUUGGCCUCUUCGUGGGUUUGUCCUUAAAAGGAACUAUAACUUUUCAAUCUUAAGGUAGGCAUAUAGUCCAUUUGCACCUUAUGUUGGCCUCUCCGGUGAUCGGGCCAUUUUGAGAGUAAUCUCUCCAAGAAUCGGGCCAUUUCGAGAGUAAUCUCUCCAAGAAUCGGGCUACUUAUUGAGAGUAAUCUCUCCGAGAAUUGGGUCAUAUUGAGAAUAAUCUCUCCAAGAAUCGAGCCAUUUUGAUAGUAACCCCUCCAAGAAUCGGACAAUUUAAGAGUAAUCUCUCCAAGAAUCGGGUCAUUCUAAGAAUCUCUCCAAGAAUCAUGCCAUUUUGAGAAUAAUCUCUCCAAGAAUCAAGCCAUUUUGAGAGUAAUCUUUCCAAGAAUCAGGUCAUUUUGUACCCAUCCUAAGACCGCCUCCUUCACACAUGGAUCAUCUUAUUAAAUAAAAACAUAUCAUUCGCUUGAAUUACAAAAAAAAUAACAAAACAAAAAAGGCAUAAGAAAACAAAAAGAAAUUACCUUUACUUUAACGUUUCCGAAUCUAUAUAACUAGACUCAAGUGGUUUGGGA
rnacentral:lncRNA from 1 species